rnacentral:lncRNA from 1 species
UUGAUGUUGUUGUUUACUUGUGCACACUGAUAUGAUAAAUGAAACUUUGUUUUCUUUUGUUUUUUUAGCCAGUUAGCCAAAAAGUCAACCCUAAAAUAAUUGUAUCCCUUGUUUGAAACCCCCUUGAGCCUAUUAUCGUUAUUUUAUAUUUAAAACUCAUUACAAGUCGAGAAGUGAAAAACAAUGUUAUCACCCUACUCAAAGGAUUGAAAGAGUCUUGUUUGGAGUUAUGUGAGGUUGAAUAAUUAUGUUUGUAAUAUUUCAGAUGUUGGCAAAAAAAGAAGAAAAAAAAUAGAAAAGAAAAAAAAAGGAAUGAAAAAAUAGAAGGAUAAGUAAGAGGAAGAAAAAAUAGAAGGAUAAGAGGAAGAAAAAAAAAAGAAUUAUGUUUAUAAUAUUUCAAUACAUGUCAAUACAUACUCCUUCAAAAAAAAGAAUAAAAAGAGGAAGGAGAAGAGAAACCAAUUGUUAUAGAGUUGUUCAAGUGAAUGAAAUAUUUUGUAAAUUCAACUCCUGCAGUUU